GAUGAACGCUGGCGGCGUGCUUAACACAUGCAAGUCGAACGGGAAUUACUUUAUUGAAACUUCGGUCGAUUUAAUUUAAUUCUAGUGGCGGACGGGUGAGUAACGCGUGGGUAACCUGCCUUAUACAGGGGGAUAACAGUCAGAAAUGGCUGCUAAUACCGCAUAAGCGCACAGAGCUGCAUGGCUCAGUGUGAAAAACUCCGGUGGUAUAAGAUGGACCCGCGUUGGAUUAGCUAGUUGGUGGGGUAACGGCCCACCAAGGCGACGAUCCAUAGCCGGCCUGAGAGGGUGAACGGCCACAUUGGGACUGAGACACGGCCCAGACUCCUACGGGAGGCAGCAGUGGGGAAUAUUGCACAAUGGGGGAAACCCUGAUGCAGCGACGCCGCGUGAAGGAAGAAGUAUCUCGGUAUGUAAACUUCUAUCAGCAGGGAAGAUAGUGACG
rnacentral:rRNA from 1 species